rnacentral:rRNA from 1 species
AUUGAACGCUGGCGGCAUGCUUUACACAUGCAAGUCGAACGGUAACAGGCCGCAAGGUGCUGACGAGUGGCGAACGGGUGAGUAAUGCAUCGGAACGUGCCCAGUCGUGGGGGAUAACGCAGCGAAAGCUGUGCUAAUACCGCAUACGAUCUAUGGAUGAAAGCGGGGGACCGUAAGGCCUCGCGCGAUUGGAGCGGCCGAUGUCAGAUUAGGUAGUUGGUGGGGGAAAGGCUCACCAAGCCGACGAUCUGGAGCUGGUCUGAGAGGACGACCAGCCACACUGGGACUGAGACACGGCCCAGACUCCUACGGGAGGCAGCAGUGGGGAAUUUUGGACAAUGGGCGCAAGCCUGAUCCAGCAAUGCCGCGUGCAGGAAGAAGGCCUUCGGGUUGUAAACUGCUUUUGUACGGAACGAAACGGUCUGGGUUAAUACCCUGGGCUAAUGACGGUACCGUAAGAAUAAGCACCGGCUAACUACGUGCCAGCAGCCGCCGUAAUAC